CCCAACAUAGCGCGGGCCGAUCUCCGUUCAAAACGGGGCCGCACAGCCCUGUUGGGGAGGGAGACCACGCCCCCACGCCUGACAUCAGAAAUGGGGGCGUGGCUAGCCAGACCCCUGCGUCUGAUGUCAGACAUGGGGGUGGGGUGAGAAGGCCACGGCGGCAGCCACCCACAGGCCACCACCAGCCUCCCUACGCUCCUGGUUUUAUCACAUUGUAUUGCUUCUGUGAAUGACUGAAGAUUGUAGCAUGGGCAUCCUCAGGACUUUUUCCAGGGGCUGGGGGGGGGGAUCUCUAAGCCUAUGCCAAUUUACCUGGGAAUAAACCCCCACUGAAUUCAAUGAGAAUUUCUCAAUUGGGGGGUGCCCCCCUCACCUCCCUCCAGAUGGGCUUGGACUGCAGAGUUGCCUCUUCUACUCUAAACAGCUAACAGUAUCUGCAGUGACUUGUAGACAUAGGCGUAACUGGGGGGGGGCAGGGGGGCACGUGCCCCGGGCGCCAUUGAGGUGGGGGCACCAUACCAGUCUCUGCCACCCCCACCCCACGGCCCACCUGCCCAGCCCCAGGGCCCCCCAGCCACUUGCCUCCAGCUCUGCUGAUCGGCAAAGAGGCCUAGGAUCGGCAAGGCCUGCAAACUGCAGAGCUCUUCUCUCCCCGCCUCUCAGCUGAUCGGCGGGUGGGCGGGGCUUCCAGAGAGGCCUCCCAGUAGGCCUCCCUGAAGCCUGAACUCGAGUAGGCCCCAAGCAAGGAGGGAGGAAGCAGGCAGCAGACCCUCUGCCCAGACCAGACCAUCCAGAACAGCUAUUGCUAGGGCUCAAGCCAAUAUCGAACCACAGCUAUAAGGAGAGCUUCUGCAUCCCUCACGUCUUGCUUCACUGAAAGAAGCGGAGCCGUUUCAAUCCAGCCUCUUUUAAAAGUCACUUUAAACCAGGAAUGCUGGUUCCUUAUUUAUAUUACAUAAGAGGGUAUGGGUCAGAGAGGGUAUGGGGGUACGGCUCAGAGAAACCACAUACCCUGAAAGCAUGAAGAUAACGAGAUGGGAAAUGAAGGCCUUUUGGAAAGCAGAAUGUAUUACUCAAUGCAGCUGCAAUAGUUGUAUUUACAGCAAAGCUACUAUGCUAAGCCAAUUGGCAAUAGUGUGAGCCUUUCCGACUGAUUAUUUAUUAAUGCUACCAUAUUUGAAAUAUUAUUUAUUACACCUGAACUCUUGUGUGUCUCAUAUGGGUUUUAAAAAUUGUAAUAUUAAAGUUGGGUGGAAUGUUUAUUUAA